rnacentral:rRNA from 1 species
GACGAACGCUGGCGGCGUGCUUAACACAUGCAAGUCGAGCGACUGCAUUCUUUUCGGAGGGUGUAUGGAGCGGCGAACGGGUGAGUAACACGUGAGUAAUCUGCCUUUGGCUUGGGAAUAACUUCGGGAAAUCGGGGCUAAUGCCUGAUGUUUACUGUCUGCUGCAUGGUGGGUGGUGGAAAGAUUUUUUGGCCAGGGAUGAGCUCGCGGUCUAUCAGCUUGUGGCGGGGUAAUGGCUUACCAAGGCUUUGACGGGUAGCCGGCCUGAGAGGGUGUUCGGCCACACUGGGACUGAGACACGGCCCAGACUCCUACGGGAGGCAGCAGUGGGGAAUAUUGCGCAAUGGGCGUAAGCCUGACGCAGCGACGCCGCGU